AUUGAACGCUGGCGGCAUGCCUUACACAUGCAAGUCGAACGGCAGCACGGGGGCAACCCUGGUGGCGAGUGGCGAACGGGUGAGAAAUGCAUCGGAACGUAUCCUCUUGUGGGGGAUAACCAGUCGAAAGACUGGCUAAUACCGCAUGAGAUCGCGAGAUGAAAGCGGGGGAUCCGCAAGGACCUCGCGCGAGAGGAGCGGCCGAUGUCCGAUUAGCUAGUUGGUGGGGUAACGGCCCACCAAGGCGACGAUCGGUAGCUGGUCUGAGAGGACGACCAGCCACACUGGGACUGAGACACGGCCCAGACUCCUACGGGAGGCAGCAGUGGGGAAUUUUGGACAAUGGGCGCAAGCCUGAUCCAGCCAUGCCGCGUGUGUGAAGAAGGCCUUCGGGUUGUAAAGCACUUUCGGACGGAACGAAAUCGCGCGGGCGAAUAUCCCUCGUGGAUGACGGUACCGUAAGAAGAAGCACCGGCUAACUACGUGCCAGCAGCCGCAGUAA
rnacentral:rRNA from 1 species